UUGCUCUUCAACGAGGAAUUCCUAGUAAGCGCGAGUCAUUAGCUCGCGUUGACUACGUCCCUGCCCUUUGUACACACCGCCCGUCGCUCCUACCGAUUGAAUGGUCCGGUGAAGUGUUCGGAUCGCGGCGACGUGGGCGGUUCGCCGCCGGCGACGUCGCGAGAAGUUCACUGAACCUUAUCAUUUAGAGGAAGGAGAAGUCGUAACAAGGUUUCCGUAGGUGAACCUGCGGAAGGAUCAUUGUCGAAUCUGCAAAGCAGAGCAACCAGCGAACAUGUUUUACAUCUGUGGGAAGGGGGUGCUGGCACGAUGCUUUGGGUUGUGCCAGCCCCUCCCCCAUGUCGCGGGGCACUCCUACUUGGUGUGCUCCCCGGCGAAAAAAACAAACCACGGCGCUUACUGCGCCAAGGAACAUGAAAAGGAGUGUGCCUGUCCUAUGCAUCGGUUUGCCGGUGCGGGGAUGUGGCACCCAGUAUUAAGAGAUAAAACGACUCUCGGCAACGGAUAUCUCGGCUCUCGCAUCGAUGAAGAACGUAGCGAAAUGCGAUACUUGGUGUGAAUUGCAGAAUCCCGUGAACCAUCGAGUCUUUGAACGCAAGUUGCGCCCGAAGCCUUUAGGUCGAGGGCACGUCUGCCUGGGCGUCACGCAUCGCGUCUCCCUACCCCACAUCGUGUGGGAUGGGGAGGAAGAUGGCCUCCCCUGCCUCACCGGGAAUGGAUGGCCUAAAAAAGGAGCCCGUGGCUACAAGCUGCAGCGGCAUUUGGUGGAAGACAAGGCCUUGCCUAGUAUGCAUCCGCGUCGCUCAGCACGUAGGCCGUGGACUCGCAGGACCCUAACAUGUUGCCCCCUGACGGCGACAAACCUUUGCGACCCCAGGUCAGGCGGGGCUACCCGCUGAGUUUAAGCAUAUCAAUAAGCGGAGGA
rnacentral:rRNA from 1 species